UACAGAGGGUGCAAGCGUUAAUCGGAAUUACUGGGCGUAAAGCGUGCGUAGACGGUUGCGUAAGUCAGAUGUGAAAGCCCCGGGCUCAACCUGGGAAUUGCAUUUGAGACUGCGUAGCUAGGGUGCGGAAGAGGGAAGCGGAAUUUCCGGUGUAGCGGUGAAAUGCGUAGAUAUCGGAAGGAACACCAGUGGCGAAGGCAAUCCCCUGGACCUGUACUGACGCUCAUGCACGAAAGCGUGGGGAGCAAACAGG
rnacentral:rRNA from 1 species